GCACCCUUAGCUCAGUUGGUAGAGCAACUGACUCUUAAUCAGUGGGUCUAGGGUUCGAACCCCUAAGGGUGUACAA
rnacentral:tRNA from 5 species